rnacentral:rRNA from 1 species
AGUGAACGCUGGCGGUAGGCCUAACACAUGCAAGUCGAACGGCAGCACAGUAAGAGCUUGCUCUUACGGGUGGCGAGUGGCGGACGGGUGAGGAAUACAUCGGAAUCUACUUUUUCGUGGGGGAUAACGUAGGGAAACUUACGCUAAUACCGCAUGCGACCUACGGGUGAAAGCAGGGGAUCUUCGGACCUUGCGCGAUUGAAUGAGCCGAUGUCGGAUUAGCUAGUUGGCGGGGUAAAGGCCCACCAAGGCGACGAUCCGUAGCUGGUCUGAGAGGAUGAUCAGCCGCACUGGAACUGAGACACGGUCCAGACUCCUACGGGAGGCAGCAGUGGGGAAUAUUGGACAAUGGGCGCAAGCCUGAUCCAGCCAUACCGCGUGGGUGAAGAAGGCCUUCGGGUUGUAAAGCCCUUUUGUUGGGAAAGAAAAGCAGCAGGUUAAUACCCCGCUGUUCUGACGGUACCCAAAGAAUAAGCACCGGCUAACUUCGUG